AUUCACGCCUCUCAUCCUCCUCCUCUCCAGCAAGGCGGCGGCGAUAUGGACGGUACAAGAUAUGCGGGCGGGGCGCGCGCGCGCCUCUGAGAAGGCAACGUUCUUUGUCGCGCGAGCUUGUGUCGGUUAAACUGUCGCUCCCGCCACCCAGACCCAGCGAGAGGCAGCCAUGAGCCCAGAGUAGGGAAGCUUUGCAUAUAACUAGCUUUCGUGCAUGCCACGCCUCUCGUCUGCAUUCUCCUUCCCGUGUCAUGGUAGCACAUUCAUUCCAAUCUGUUCAAAACGAGCCUGAGGCGCACGUCCCGAGGUACACGCCCAAACACUGUAGCCCAGGUUUUCCCUUCAUGGUGUUGCAGCUAGUGACACUAUAAAUUACGGGGACACACACUGCGCUGGAAGACCCACAGAUGAUUUAAACUGGAGUAAUCCCAUCUGCUGUUCUCCUAUACAGGAAGACUAUUUUAGUCUGCUGCAGCAAGGACAACAAAGAGGCUUGAGAUCUAAAGCUACCUUAACUACUUGCUGGAAUUAAUUGGUCCUGGUAAACACAGUACUGCU